rnacentral:piRNA from 1 species
UGCUACGAUCUUCCUUCAAUG